CCAGCUCUGUAAGCGUAUACCAAAGUUGUUGCAGUUAAAACGCUCGUAGUCGGACCUUGGCGCGCGCCGGGCUGUGCGCGUAGUGCGUGCGGCACGGGGCGUGCUUUUGUGGAUGGCGGCCGGCCGUGGCUUCACUGUCGCGGUCGUGCCGGCGCCACCGUUUACUGUGAAAAAAUUAGAGUGUUCAAAGCAGGCGUUUGCCGUGAAUACAUUAGCAUGGAAUAAUAGAAUAGGACUCGCUCCUAUUUUGUUGGUUUGUGAGGGCCGAGUAAUGAUUAAGAGGGACGGUUGGGGGCAUUUGUAUUCCGGCGUCAGAGGUGAAAUUCUUGGAUUGCCGGAAGACAAACCGCUGCGAAAGCGUCUGCCAAGGACGUUUUCA
rnacentral:rRNA from 1 species